rnacentral:rRNA from 1 species
GAUUAAGUUAUUAAGGGCGCACGGUGGAUGCCUUGGCACUAGAAGCCGAUGAAGGACGUUACUAACGACGAUAUGCUUUGGGGAGCUGUAAGUAAGCUUUGAUCCAGAGAUUUCCGAAUGGGGAAACCCAGCAUGAGUUAUGUCAUGUUAUCGAUAUGUGAAUACAUAGCAUAUCAGAAGGCACACCCGGAGAACUGAAACAUCUUAGUACCCGGAGGAAGAGAAAGAAAAUUCGAUUCCCUUAGUAGCGGCGAGCGAAACGGGAAGAGCCCAAACCAACAAGCUUGCUUGUUGGGGUUGUAGGACACUCUAUACGGAGUUACAAAGGACGACAUUAGACGAAUCAUCUGGAAAGAUGAAUCAAAGAAGGUAAUAAUCCUGUAGUCGAAAAUGUUGUCUCUCUUGAGUGGAUCCUGAGUACGACGGAGCACGUGAAAUUCCGUCGGAAUCUGGGAGGACCAUCUCCUAAGGCUAAAUACUCUCUAGUGACCGAUAGUGAACCAGUACCGUGAGGGAAAGGUGAAAAGCACCCCGGAAGGGGAGUGAAAUAGAACCUGAAACCGUGUGCUUACAAGUAGUCAGAGCCCGUUAAUGGGUGAUGGCGUGCCUUUUGUAGAAUGAACCGGCGAGUUACGAUUUGAUGCAAGGUUAAGCAGUAAAUGUGGAGCCGUAGCGAAAGCGAGUCUGAAUAGGGCGUUUAGUAUUUGGUCGUAGACCCGAAACCAGGUGAUCUACCCUUGGUCAGGUUGAAGUUCAGGUAACACUGAAUGGAGGACCGAACCGACUUACGUUGAAAAGUGAGCGGAUGAACUGAGGGUAGCGGAGAAAUUCCAAUCGAACCUGGAGAUAGCUGGUUCUCUCCGAAAUAGCUUUAGGGCUAGCCUCAAGUGAUGAUUAUUGGAGGUAGAGCACUGUUUGGACGAGGGGCCCCUCUCGGGUUACCGAAUUCAGACAAACUCCGAAUGCCAAUUAAUUUAACUUGGGAGUCAGAACAUGGGUGAUAAGGUCCGUGUUCGAAAGGGAAACAGCCCAGACCACCAGCUAAGGUCCCAAAAUAUAUGUUAAGUGGAAAAGGAUGUGGCGUUGCCCAGACAACUAGGAUGUUGGCUUAGAAGCAGCCAUCAUUUAAAGAGUGCGUAAUAGCUCACUAGUCGAGUGACACUGCGCCGAAAAUGUACCGGGGCUAAACAUAUUACCGAAGCUGUGGAUUGUCCUUUGGACAAUGGUAGGAGAGCGUUCUAAGGGCGUUGAAGCAUGAUCGUAAGGACAUGUGGAGCGCUUAGAAGUGAGAAUGCCGGUGUGAGUAGCGAAAGACGGGUGAGAAUCCCGUCCACCGAUUGACUAAGGUUUCCAGAGGAAGGCUCGUCCGCUCUGGGUUAGUCGGGUCCUAAGCUGAGGCCGACAGGCGUAGGCGAUGGAUAACAGGUUGAUAUUCCUGUACCACCUAUAAUCGUUUUAAUCGAUGGGGGGACGCAGUAGGAUAGGCGAAGCGUGCGAUUGGAUUGCACGUCUAAGCAGUAAGGCUGAGUAUUAGGCAAAUCCGGUACUCNNNNNNNNNNNNNNNNNNNNNNNNNNNNNNNNNNNNNNNNNNNNNNNNNNNNNNNNNNNNNNNNNNNNNNNNNNNNNNNNNNNNNNNNNNNNNNNNNNNGAGGCUGAGCUGUGAUGGGGAGAAGACAUUGUGUCUUCGAGUCGUUGAUUUCACACUGCCGAGAAAAGCCUCUAGAUAGAAAAUAGGUGCCCGUACCGCAAACCGACACAGGUAGUCAAGAUGAGAAUUCUAAGGUGAGCGAGCGAACUCUCGUUAAGGAACUCGGCAAAAUGACCCCGUAACUUCGGGAGAAGGGGUGCUCUUUAGGGUUAACGCCCAGAAGAGCCGCAGUGAAUAGGCCCAAGCGACUGUUUAUCAAAAACACAGGUCUCUGCUAAACCGUAAGGUGAUGUAUAGGGGCUGACGCCUGCCCGGUGCUGGAAGGUUAAGAGGAGUGGUUAGCUUCUGCGAAGCUACGAAUCGAAGCCCCAGUAAACGGCGGCCGUAACUAUAACGGUCCUAAGGUAGCGAAAUUCCUUGUCGGGUAAGUUCCGACCCGCACGAAAGGCGUAACGAUUUGGGCACUGUCUCAACGAGAGACUCGGUGAAAUCAUAGUACCUGUGAAGAUGCAGGUUACCCGCGACAGGACGGAAAGACCCCGUGGAGCUUUACUGUAGCCUGAUAUUGAAAUUCGGCACAGCUUGUACAGGAUAGGUAGGAGCCUUUGAAACGUGAGCGCUAGCUUACGUGGAGGCGCUGGUGGGAUACUACCCUAGCUGUGUUGGCUUUCUAACCCGCACCACUUAUCGUGGUGGGAGACAGUGUCAGGCGGGCAGUUUGACUGGGGCGGUCGCCUCCUAAAAGGUAACGGAGGCGCUCAAAGGUUCCCUCAGAAUGGUUGGAAAUCAUUCAUAGAGUGUAAAGGCAUAAGGGAGCUUGACUGCGAGACCUACAAGUCGAGCAGGGUCGAAAGACGGACUUAGUGAUCCGGUGGUUCCGCAUGGAAGGGCCAUCGCUCAACGGAUAAAAGCUACCCCGGGGAUAACAGGCUUAUCUCCCCCAAGAGUUCACAUCGACGGGGAGGUUUGGCACCUCGAUGUCGGCUCAUCGCAUCCUGGGGCUGUAGUCGGUCCCAAGGGUUGGGCUGUUCGCCCAUUAAAGCGGUACGCGAGCUGGGUUCAGAACGUCGUGAGACAGUUCGGUCCCUAUCCGUCGUGGGCGUAGGAAAUUUGAGAGGAGCUGUCCUUAGUACGAGAGGACCGGGAUGGACAUACCUCUGGUGUACCAGUUGUCGUGCCAACGGCAUAGCUGGGUAGCUAUGUGUGGACGGGAUAAGUGCUGAAAGCAUCUAAGCAUGAAGCCCCCCUCAAGAUGAGAUUUCCCAACUUCGGUUAUAAGAUCCCUCAAAGAUGAUGAGGUUAAUAGGUUCGAGGUGGAAGCAUGGUGACAUGUGGAGCUGACGAAUACUAAUCGAUCGAAGACUUAAUCAA